GACGAACGCUGGCGGCGUGCUUAACACAUGCAAGUCGAGCGAUGAAACACCUUCGGGUGCGGAUUAGCGGCGAACGGGUGAGGAACACGUGAGGAAUCUGCCUUCCACUCUGGGAUAACUCCGGGAAACCGGGGCUAAUACCGGAUACUUUCAACUGGCGGCAUCGCCGGUUGAAGAAAGUUUUUCGGUGGAAGAUGACCUCGCGGCCUAUCAGCUUGUUGGUGAGGUAAAGGCUCACCAAGGCGACGACGGGUAGCCGGCCUGAGAGGGCGACGGGCCACCCUGGGCAUGAGGCACGGCCCAGACUCCCACGGGAGGCAGCAGUGGGGAAUAUUGGGCAAUGGAGGAAACUCUGACCCAGCGACGCCGCGUGAGGGAUGAAGGCCUUCGGGUUGUAAACCUCUUUCAGCAGGGAAUAAGCGAAAGUGAAGGUACCUGCAGAAGAAGCACCGGCUAACCAUGUGCCAGCAGCCGCCGUAA
rnacentral:rRNA from 1 species